ACUCCUACGGGAGGCAGCAGUGGGGAAUAUUGCACAAUGGGCGAAAGCCUGAUGUAGCAACGCCGCGUGAGUGAUGAAGGCCUUCGGGUUGUAAAGCUCUGUCUUUGGGGACGAUAAUGACGGUACCCAAGGAGGAAGCCACGGCUAACUACGUGCCAGCAGCCGCGGUAAUACGUAGGUGGCAAGCGUUGUCCGGAUUUACUGGGCGUAAAGGAUGCGUAGGUGGAUAUGCAAGUCAGAUGUGAAAUACCCGGGCUUAACUCGGGUGCUGCAUUUGAAACUAUAUAUCUAGAGUGCAGGAGAGGUAAGUGGAAUUCCUAGUGUAGCGGUGAAAUGCGUAGAGAUUAGGAAGAACACCAGUGGCGAAGGCGACUUACUGGACUGUAACUGACACUGAGGCAUGAAAGCGUGGGGAGCAAACAGGAUUAGAUACCCUGGUAGUCCACGCCGUAAACGAUGGGUACUAGGUGUAGGGGGUAUCGACUCCCUCUGUGCCGCAGUUAACACAAUAAGUACCCCGCCUGGGGAGUACGGUCGCAAGAUUAAAACUCAAAGGAAUUGACGGGGACCCGCACAAGCAGCGGAGCAUGUGGUUUAAUUCGAAGCAACGCGAAGAACCUUACCUAGACUUGACAUCUCCUGAAUAACCUAGAGAUAGGCGAAGCUCUUCGGAGCAGGAUGACAGGUGGUGCAUGGUUGUCGUCAGCUCGUGUCGUGAGAUGUUGGGUUAAGUCCCGCAACGAGCGCAACCCUUAUCACUAGUUGCUACCAUUUAGUUGAGCACUCUAAUGAGACUGCCCGGGUUAACCGGGAGGAAGGUGGGGAUGACGUCAAAUCAUCAUGCCCCUUAUGUCUAGGGCUACACACGUGCUACAAUGGGCAGUACAGUGAGAUGCAAACUCGUGAGAGUGAGCCAAACUAUAAAACUGUUCCCAGUUCGGAUUGUAGGCUGCAACUCGCCUACAUGAAGCCGGAGUUGCUA
rnacentral:rRNA from 1 species